AUUAGCUCAGUCGGCAGAGCACCUGACUUUUAAUCAGGGUGUCCCGGGUUCAAAUCCCGG
rnacentral:tRNA from 1 species